rnacentral:rRNA from 1 species
UACGAGAGGCCCAAACGUUAUUCGGAAUUACUGGGCUUAAAGAGUUCGUAGGCGGCGCAGAAAGUAGGGUGUGAAAGCCCUCGGCUCAACCGAGGAAUUGCGCUCUAACUACUGUGCUCGAGGAAUCUAGAGGUGAGCGGAACUGAUGGUGGAGCGGUGAAAUGCGUUGAUAUCAGUCAGGAAGCACCGGGAGGCGAAGGCGGCUCACUGGGAUUUCUGACGCUGAG